rnacentral:tmRNA from 1 species
GGGGGUGCACAGGGUUCGACAGGAAUUGUGCAGGUAUGCAUUGCAGGCCCAAGGUGGUCGAAGGCUUGGUAAAAAUUCGACCAAAAAACAUAAACGCCAACGAAAAUCUGGCGCUGGCUGCUUAAUUAGCAGCUGCGUUUACCUUUCUUGCCUGCGGGAAAGAAUAAACGUCAAGAAGCAGGAUAUGCAUGCAUAAACCCGUCUGAUUUGUGCAUGUGAGAACCGAUCAGGCUGGCGGUAUGUGUUUCGUGCCCGGUAGAGAGCAUAUCGCGAGAUUUAAUGCCGGGAAAAGCCUGUAGGAAUGAUAGUUGUGUGAUUCUUGGACGCGGGUUCGAUUCCCGCCACCUCCACCA